AUUGAACGCUGGCGGCAUGCUUUACACAUGCAAGUCGAACGGUAACAGGUUAAGCUGACGAGUGGCGAACGGGUGAGUAAUGCAUCGGAACGUGCCCGAUCGUGGGGGAUAACGCAGCGAAAGCUGCGCUAAUACCGCAUACGAUCUGAGGAUGAAAGCGGGGGACCGGAAGGCCUCGCGCGAUCGGAGCAGCCGAUGUCAGAUUAGGUGGUUGGUGGGGUAAAGGCCCACCAAGCCGACGAUCUGUAGCUGGUCUGAGAGGACGACCAGCCACACUGGGACUGAGACACGGCCCAGACUCCUACGGGAGGCAGCAGUGGGGAAUUUUGGACAAUGGGCGAAAGCCUGAUCCAGCAAUGCCGCGUGCAGGAAGAAGGCCUUCGGGUUGUAAACUGCUUUUGUACGGAGCGAAAAGGUCCUUUCUAAUACAAGGGGCUCAUGACGGUACCGUAAGAAUAGCACCGGCUAACUACGUGCCAGCAGCCGCAGUAA
rnacentral:rRNA from 1 species